rnacentral:rRNA from 1 species
ACAUUGAAGAAUUUCUUUAUAAGAUAUUUUGAUGAAGGGUAAUUUAAUGAGGUAURAGUAAAUCAAUAUAAUAGUUAGUAUUAUUAUGAAAAUUUUGUUAGGGAUUGUACUGUGAAGGAWAUAAAAAUUUUAUUAAAAGAAGARAUUAAAUUUUGUACCUUGUGUAUUAGGGGCAAUUAAAAUAUUAAGUGAGAUCACUCAUCCCGAUGUAUUUGUGGGCUAAAAUUUAAAUUUUAUUAAUGUAGCAUAAUUAAUAAUGAUUUAAUUUUAGAGAUGAUAUAUUAUUCAAGCAAUAARAUUUCUGGUUCUCUAARAAGUUAAUUAAAUUUGGAUCUAAUUUUUAUGUAAAUUUARAUUGAAUCUUUAAAGGGAUAAGCUUUUAUAGGUAAGUCAUAUACAUCAGUAUUGGUAAAAUUAUUUAGAUUUAAAAUUGAUCUAAUUUUUACAAUGUUAUAAUGAA